rnacentral:rRNA from 1 species
UACGUAGGGGGCAAGCGUUGUCCGGAUUUAUUGGGCGUAAAGAGCGUGUAGGCGGCCAAGCAGGUCAGCUGUGAAAACUCGAGGCUCAAUCUCGAGACGUCGGUUGAAACCGCUUGGCUAGAGUCCGGAAGAGGAGAGUGGAAUUCCCGGUGUAGCGGUGGAAUGCGCAGAUAUCAGGAAGAACACCAACGGGCGAAGGCAGCUCGCUGGGACGGUACUGACG